GUGACUCUUUCUGUCUUCUUUUAAUCACUUACAUGAGAGUUUAAUAAAACUGUGCUUCACUGAGGGUGGGAGUGCUUUUAUUAGCUGCUGGAUUGCAGGUCUGUGUGGGAAGCGUAGUGCACUGAAGGCACUGCAUUAAGUUUUGUUAGAGAUUUGAAGAUGAUACUACAAGUAACCAAGCAGGCUUAAUCCUCAGUUGUCUACUCUUACAAGGCACUGUGUUCUAUAAUCUUUUAUUGUGUUAUGGUAUUCUUUGAUAUUUGUUUUAACAUCAGGCUAUUUCUUUUACAUAUGUUUUUUUAUUUCUUCCAGCAGGGCAACUUGCCAUGUCUCCAGUAAGGGUGUAAUAGGGCAAGGUUUAAGAGACAGUGAAGAAAUAGAAGAAAGCUGAAUAGCUGUUCUUCUUCCCAGCACUUCCACAGUAUGCCAGAGCCCACAGUGGGAAGUAGCAAUAAUAGAUAAAACCCUCUCUCUUCCCACCAUUCUUACAUAAAAAUAGUGAUGGUUUUUGCCGUAGAUUCCUACUGUGGAACUCUAAGACACGAAGAAGACAUGGGGAGGAAAGAAGGAAAUGCAUUGAUUCAUUCAGAGCUAGCAUCAAAUAUGUGAAGUCUGACAUAGAAGUAUGAAAUGUCUUAACCAUGAAGGUUUGGGACAAAAGCAGGAAAAUACCUAGUGAUGUGAACAGAAAAAUCCCUUUCAUUCAUGUUAUAUAAGAAUUUCCUCCUCUGUCCACCUUUCCAAGAAGUGGCGUAGUAUAUUGUGUUUGUUAGUGUAUCAGUGCAGUUACACUUGAAACGCUUCACUUUGAUGUCCAUAAAAGCAGGAUUAGACCCUUUGCUUGCAGUGCUGGCACAACUAGAACAAGGAACAAAAGAUAAGAGUAAUUUAAAAUACAUGCAUACGUAUAUGUAAGUAAAUUCCCAGUGUAGAACACCUUGAAGCAAUUACUGUACAGGUCUAACAUCUUUUGAUAUUAAAAGUUUAAAUGAUUUUGGACAGGGAUCUUUUCUAUCUGCCUGCUACCACAGGGACCAUGGGAUGUUGCUGCAGUACUUAGUAGGAGUAGGUUAGCACUGCAUUAAUUCUGUUUUAACUGUUUCCUAAUGUUGUAAUGAUUCAUUGGGUCUCCAGGAAUAAAGAAUUAAAAGGUAAAUGUAGCUGUCCUGUGUCGUUUGACAACAAACAUGCCUGCUGCCUUUUGGAAGGGAAAGGUUUCAUGGGUGCCUUAUAAAACUAUCAAAGGAUCACAUUUCUUAAAAGACUUUUUGCUUUGAUAAAACAAAGGCGUCUGGAUUUAAAAGUUUACAUCAAAAUGAUGUAUGUGGAUGGUCAACAAACCAUUUCUCCAUGGGGUGAGAUGAGUGAGGUCUUUCCUUGCAAGGUCUAGUGCCAUUCAGUUAAUUUCACAGCAAUCUAGAGAAUAAAAUCUCUGAUGAAGUAUUUGGCGUCAACAAAGAUUGGUAGGUAGCAAUAACAAGGACAACAGCUUACUGAUUUAUAAUUAUGUAAACUUUUACUAAGUGGUCCCAUUAUGACAAUCUGUCACUCAGUGUAUAUAUGCCAAGUGAAGGUAAGAUAUCUGGACACCAGAGAGAGAUUUAUUGCACUUCACAAUCUGAAAUCAUGUGCGUUGUGUCAGUUGUUACCCAGAGGUCUCUUUACAAUCUCUGGAAAGCCAUAAGCUACAUCUAUAAUAAUAAGCAGCAUGGCAUAACAGGAGCAGAUCUUUAGAGUGAAACUGCUUGUGCUGAGGGUCCAGGGCCCAUUUUUGUGAGUUUUUCUUAAGACUAGCGUUAGACCUGUCUUAUGAAUUGAUUGAAGUGCUUCUGGUGUACUCAUGCAAUGUAUCUGCUAUUUGAGUUUCAUCCAGAAGGAAUCCAGUCUGCAUGCAUUGAAACCUCUCUACUGUGUGAACCAAAACACGAGAAGAGUGGUGGGGAGACUUACUUAAAACCACACUUGUGUUGAACUGAAAUGUUAUGGUAGGUUCACAAAAUAGUCUCUAAAGGCUCAGAGUGGUAUCUCAGUUGAGUAACAUAGAGACUUCAUUGGAGGCGCCUGUUUCUCACGUGUAAGACUUAGCUAAGUUUAAGGCUUAUAAAGUUAAGUGAAAUUACCCCUAUGAAAACAUCAAGCUAUGGAUGAGAUGCAACAGGCUUGAGGAAAAUGCACAGCUCUUUGUAGACAUGUGCUUUGGGCUCAUAACAAAUAUUGCGGCUAUAAAGAUUAUGUAAAAUGUCUUCUAGAGAGCACUCAUAAAAAAUGUUAAAGAAUUAGAAUACAGUCAUUACAUUAUGAGGUGUGGCAUAUUUAAUUCCUGCAAAUUAUAGAACACUGGGGAGGUGGUUUAGUUACUUAACAUGUAAGAUUUUGCAACUAAGUCAGAGUGGAAUAGAGGAUUUUUAUUUCUAUGGACAAAGGUAUAAGAACCAAUGCCUGAAAGCAGAAUUUAAAUAUACCUAGUAUGGAAAAAGGUGAAAUUACCUGGUAUAGAUAGUAUAGCUAAGAUAUAUAGAUGUCUAUCUUAUAGAUAGAGAAUAUAUCUUAUAGAUGUAUUGAUUAUAUAUCUUAUAGAGUAUAUGUCUUACAGAUGUAUAGAAAUAGUACAGUUAACCAACAGUGUGACACUGUGGCUUGGAAUCUUUGAAAGGAGAUUAGGUAUUUUUCUUAAUUUCUUAUUUCUAAUUUUGCCCCUGCCACAUACACAGGGCAGACUCUGUAAAAGCAGAAAGACAGCAGUGUGUGUGCCUAAGGCUGUUGUAAACAACCCCAUCUGUUUGUCUGUGCAUCUGCAGACAGAAGUAAGAGUUUUGCAGAUGACAGUUUGCUGAAAAUGUACUCACAGAGAGUGUGUUUCACUCAGAUUCAUGACAGAGGCUGCCACAGAGUAACUUCAGGGCAUAGUGAGCUGAAAAAGAGAAAGAAAAGAGCAUUCUCUUUAGGAAGAACUUGGUACAAUAAUAAUACUGCCAUCAAACUCAAGGAUAAUAAUGGAACACAAAUACCCUUAUAAUUAAAAAAAGGAUUUAGAAAGGGUUGCAAUAAACUAGAAAUAAUGCAUUUUUUCUAGCAAAUCACGUUUAAUGAAAUAAAUGUCUGGAAAAAUAAAAUCUCGUUUUACAUUUAAAUCAGUUACAUGCUAAAUUAGGGUAAAGCAGAGUAGUAAUACACCUUAUUUCAAGGAGGAAGCAUUCUGUGCUAUGCCCUUGGAAACCUUUACUCUGCGAAUCACUAGCAGAGGUUCACUGCUAAGUUGUGACAAGGUAAAGUCAGUAUUAUUGUUUCUAGUUUUCUCUUUAUUCCUUCUCAGUGCCAGCUCUAGGUAAACGUGACAUGUGCAGUUACGCUGGGAUCUGUGUUCAUAAAGAGCACUCUUGGAUCACCGCCCUUUCUGUUUUGCCUUUUAUCAACACAUGAUCUCAGGGUGGCAACAUCUUGGAAAUUAGUUUCCCAUAUCGUUCGGAUCCAUGGGGAACUUUCAAAUGAGCCAUGGAGGAGGCUGUUUGUCAAGGCCAGAGCUGGAACCUGAUAGUUCUGCACGCUUCGGCCAGACCCCAGUCCUCAUCCCGUUUGUGGGGUCCCAGGUGGUUUGAUGGUCUUUCUGCUAAAUUGGUGUUGGAAGAGGGAAAGAGAGGUGGUAGCUCAUCAAAGCAUUUUAUACAUGACUCUCAGCCUUGCAUAGCCAUUUCAAAACUCAGGCAACAGUUCAGGGAAUUGUGAAAGAAGUUCAAAAUUAAGAAUAAAAGGAAAAUGAUGAAGAUAAGCAAAGAUUGUUAAUUACAGAAGAAUAAACAAAACUGUGGUAUGUAUGUAUUUCAGAUUUUUAAUCUCCAUACGAAUUAUUAAAGUAGUAAAGGAAACUGUUGGCCCUAUCGGAGUCAUGCCCUUAAUGAAAGGCAGGUCCCCUGCAAAGGUUUUUCCUUUAUCCUCAUAUACCUGAAGAACUAUCCAUUAAGUUUAGCAAUCUCCCUAGUUUUGUUUGUGUGGCAUAUAUGAAAUUUUAAUGAGUUAUUGUUCUUUAGCAGUCUUUGAACAUGACUGAGUUAAGAAGACUUGAACUGAAGUUGUAAGGUGUCAUAGUGGUGGAGGUGUCAUUGUAAAGUGGAGAGUGACUUUUUACACAGGCAAAUGGAGACAGGACAAGGGGGAAUGGUUUUAAACUUAAGAGAGAUUUAGAUCAGA